rnacentral:rRNA from 1 species
UACGAGGGGGGCAAGCGUUGUUCGGAAUUAUUGGGCGUAAAGGGUGCGUAGGCGGGUCUUUUAAGUCAGGGGUGAAAUCCUGGAGCUCAACUCCAGAACUGCCUUUGAUACUGAGGAUCUUGAGUUCGGGAGAGGUGAGUGGAACUGCGAGUGUAGAGGUGAAAUUCGUAGAUAUUCGCAAGAACACCAGUGGCGAAGGCGGCUCACUGGCCCGAUACUGACGCUGAUGCACGAAAGCGUGGGGAGCAAACAGG